UUAAAAAGCUCGUAGUUGGGUUUCUGGGCGGGGACCCAAGUACCCCUGGUGGGUGUGCUCGGGCCCGGCCAUCCUUCUGUAAACUUUCGCGCGUCCUUCACCGGUCGGCAAAGGGAUCAGAUAAUUUACCUUGAGAAAAUUAGAGUGUUUCAGGCAGGCUUAGCCGGAAUACAUUAGCAUGGAAUAAUGGAAUAGGACUGAGGUCUCGUUGUUGGUUACGCGGACUACAGUAAUGAUUAAUAGGGACAGUUGGGGGCAUUAGUAUUUAUUAGCUAGAGGUGGAAUUCUCUAAUUUGAUAAAGACUAACUUAUGCGAAAGCAUUUGCCAAGGAUGUUUUCAUUAAUCAAGAACGAAAGUUAGGGGAUCAAAGACGAUCAGAUACCGUCCUAGUCUUAACCAUAAACUAUGCCGACU
rnacentral:rRNA from 1 species